rnacentral:rRNA from 1 species
AGCGGCGGAUGGGUGAGUAACACGUGGGGAACCUGCCCCUAAGUCUGGGAUACCAUUUGGAAACAGGUGCUAAUACCGGAUAAUAAAGCAGAUCGCAUGAUCAGCUUUUGAAAGGCGGCGUAAGCUGUCGCUAAGGGAUGGCCCCGCGGUGCAUUAGCUAGUUGGUAAGGCAACGGCUUACCAAGGCGACGAUGCAUAGCCGAGUUGAGAGACUGAUCGGCCACAUUGGGACUGAGACACGGCCCAAACUCCUACGGGAGGCAGCAGUAGGGAAUCUUCCACAAUGGACGCAAGUCUGAUGGAGCAACGCCGCGUGAGUGAAGAAGGUUUUCGGAUCGUAAAGCUCUGCUGUUGGUGAAGAAGGAUAGAGGUAGUAACUGGCCUUUAUUUGACGGUAAUCAACCAGAAAGUCACGGCUAACUACGUGCCAGCAGCCGCGGUAAUACGUAGGUGGCAAGCGUUGUCCGGAUUUAUUGGGCGUAAAGCGAGCGCAGGCGGAAAAAUAAGUCUAAUGUGAAAGCCCUCGGCUUAACCGAGGAACUGCAUCGGAAACUGUUUCUCUUGAGUGCAGGAGGGGAGAGUGGAACUCCAUGUGUAGCGGUGGAAUGCGUAGAUAUAUGGAAGAACACCAGUGGCGAAGGCGGCUCUCUGGUCUGCAACUGACGCUGAGGCUCGAAAGCAUGGGUAGCGAACAGGAUUAGAUACCCUGGUAGUCCAUGCCGUAAACGAUGAGUGCUAAGUGU